rnacentral:lncRNA from 1 species
AAUCAACAAAAAAGAAGAAGAAGAAGAAGAGCUUUUGGAAGUCUAGCAAUCUGAAAAUGUUUUGAGAGACAACAAACCAAAAAUCCCAAAAUAUCAACACAAAAAUAGUCUAUAAGUCCACCCAUAUCUACUGUCUCUUUGUUAGCACUAUUCCAUUGAGGUCUGAUUUUAAGAUCAGUUGGGUCAUUCAGCUCGAUUGAGUCUUAUUUUUGAGUUUACUGAACCCUGUUCCUGGAUUUUGUUUUGGAUCUACUGGUUUUCUGCUGCAAUUGUGUCAGUUAUUGUGUUGCUGCCCAUCUGACCUCUCACCCCCUUCAUUUUGUUCUAAUUUCCAGGUACUUUUUGGCCACAAAUGAUGUGUGAAGAAUUGAAUAUGCAAAUGUAUGACUAAGUUGCUAAAGAAAGGAUGCAUUUUUCCUUUUAUUUUCCUGUUAAUUCAUUUGCAAGUAUAUUUGUUUAAAUGCUAGAUUUAUGUUUCUCUAGAGUAUGAAAGUCAAGUGAUCUGGACCUUCUAGUAAUUGUAAUAAUUGGACUGUUAAAACUAUGAAUCCCUG